UGGAGGGAAACUCAAUUUUGAAAUACGACUGUCUGUUCGCCCUUGCCGUACCCAGUGCCUGGAUGAAGACUUCAGAUUACGUCGGCCUUCGGUCUGGGUGGAAUUCCCUGAUGUAGUAAUGGACCUAUCGGGUAGGCCACCUGGCUUUGUUUACCUUCUGUGAUACAACUCUUCGGGAGCCUACAGAUGAUUUCCACCCAUGAUUUCUUGGCUUUCUUCACAGUUGCACCCUCCUGUACCUGUCUAUGGAUAAAAUUUGGUGAAAAUAAUCUAAGGGAUGUGACUGCAUUUGGAAACACAGUGACCAGGUUGCAAACAAGAAAUAAAUGCUCCACUGUUACAUCUUCAUCUGCAUUACACUGAUUAACUUGGAUCCAUUUCUUACAUUCUUACCUCUGCAUAUUGAUCAGUAAUAUAGUUGAAGAAUUACUAAGACACCAAGAUGGAAACAACGAAAGAUAAGACAAAAGAAGACUUACAAGAAGAAAGCAUAACAUGUCCUGAUGAUAUUCCACUGGUUGAGUUCCUUGUUGGCACAACAAAUGAAGCCAGAUCCAGCAGCUGUGAUGACUUCAGUCGAUGACUAGAUGGUUUCUUAGACAUGUAGAUUUCCCAGUGGGGCAGAUUCUGGGAUAUUUCUGUCGACAUGGCACAUUUAUUACGCCAGUUACUUCAUAGUUUCAAGAUGUCACAUCCUUA